UACGGAGGGUGCAAACGUUGCUCGGAAUCACUGGGCGUAAAGCGCACGUUAGGCGGCUUUUUAAGUCAGGGGUGAAAUCCUGGAGCUCAACUCCAGAACUGCCUUUGAUACUGGGAGCUUGAGUCCGGAAGAGGUGAGUGGAACUCCGAGUGUAGAGGUGAAAUUCGUAGAUAUUCGGAAGAACACCAGUGGCGAAGGCGGCUCACUGGUCCGGUACUGACGCUGAGGUGCGAAAAGCGUGGGGGAGCCAAACAGGG
rnacentral:rRNA from 1 species